UACAGAGGGUGCAAGCGUUAAUCGGAAUUACUGGGCGUAAAGCGUGCGUAGGCGGUUAUCUAAGUCGGGUGUGAAAUCCCCGGGCUCAACCUGGGAAUUGCAUUCGAUACUGGAUAGCUAGAGUUCGGCAGAGGGAAGUGGAAUUUCAGGUGUAGCGGUGAAAUGCGUAGAGAUCGGGAAGAAUACCUGUGGCGAAGGCGGCCAGCUGGGCCAGAUCCGACACUGAGGCGCGAAAGCGUGGGGAGCAAACAGG
rnacentral:rRNA from 1 species